GACGAACGCUGGCGGCGUGCUUAACACAUGCAAGUCGAACGCUGAACCCGCUUCGGUGGGGGAUGAGUGGCGAACGGGUGAGUAACACGUGGGCAACCUGCCCCCGGCUCUGGGAUAACUCCAAGAAAUUGGGGCUAAUACCGGAUGUGACCGCUGGCCGCAUGGUCUGGUGGUGGAAAGGGUUUCCGGCUGGGGACGGGCCCGCGGCCUAUCAGCUUGUUGGUGGGGUAGUGGCCUACCAAGGCGACGACGGGUAGCCGGCCUGAGAGGGUGACCGGCCACACUGGGACUGAGACACGGCCCAGACUCCUACGGGAGGCAGCAGUGGGGAAUAUUGCGCAAUGGGCGGAAGCCUGACGCAGCGACGCCGCGUGGGGGAUGACGGCCUUCGGGUUGUAAACCUCUUUCAGCAGGGACGAAGCGCAAGUGACGGUACCUGCAGAAGAAGCACCGGCCAACUACGUG
rnacentral:rRNA from 1 species